ensembl:lncRNA
GGCCUGUGACACUGUUCAUAUAUGAGAGCCAACUACAGGAAGCAAAUGGCUUGUACACCAGAAGUUGCUGUCACCAUGGAUGGGAUUUUGAUCAAAAAGAGAAAAAGAAAAAGCCCCAUUGGCUGCUUCACCGGGACUAGAGCUCUACCAGACGUUGCCCGCAGUCAGUAGUUGACUCAAAUUCCCAACCGAAAGCAGAGGGGGGUUGAUCCUGUGGGACUGCUACACAGAUUCCACCUGUGCAGGCCAGUCAAGAUCAUGCCGCCCGAUCAGCCGAAUGGAGCCCCUAAUACAAGGCGCAAAACUGAGGCGGAAGAGGAAUAUUUGCCGGCGCAGUAUGAGUGAAGAAAUGUUUAAAGAAGCAUGUAAAGCCCU